rnacentral:rRNA from 1 species
CGGAAACAUUUGAAGUGACUUAGUGGCGGACGGGUGAGUAACGCGUGGGUAACCUGCCCUGUACUGGGGGACAACAGUUGGAAACGGCUGCUAAUACCGCAUAAGCGCACAGCAUCGCAUGGUGCAGUGUGAAAAACUCCGGUGGUACAGGAUGAGUCCGCGUCCCAUUAGCUAGUUGGCGGGGUAACGGCCUACCAAGGCGACGAUGGGUAGCCGGUCUGAGAGGAUGACCGGCCACACUGGAACUGGAACACGGUCCAGACUCCUACGGGAGGCAGCAGUGGGGAAUAUUGCGCAAUGGGCGAAAGCCUGACGCAGCGACGCCGCGUGAGGGAUGAAGGUUCUCGGAUCGUAAACCUCUGUCAGGGGGGAAGAAACCCCCUCGUGUGAAUAAUGCGAGGGCUUGACGGUACCCCCAAAGGAAGCACCGGCUAACUCCGUGCCAGCAGCCGCGGUAAUACGGAGGGUGCAAGCGUUAAUCGGAAUCACUGGGCGUAAAGCGCACGUAGGCGGCUUGGUAAGUCAGGGGUGAAAUCCCACAGCCCAACUGUGGAACUGCCUUUGAUACUGCCAAGCUUGAGU